CAAUAGCGUAUAUUUAAGUUGUUGCAGUUAAAAAGCUCGUAGUUGGAUUUCGGUUAAGAGCGACCGGUCCGCCGUUUGGUGUGCACUGGUUGGUUUUAACUUCCUGUAGAGGACGUGCUCUGGGUUUAACGACCUGGACUCGGAGUCUACGUGGUUACUUUGAAAAAAUUAGAGUGCUCAAAGCGGGCUUACGCUUGAAUAUUUCAGCAUGGAAUAACACUAUAGGACUCCUGUCCUAUUUCGUUGGUCUCGGGACGGGAGUAAUGAUUAAGAGGAACAGUUGGGGGCAUUCGUAUUUCAUUGUCAGAGGUGAAAUUCUUGGAUUUAUGAAAGACGAACUUCUGCGAAAGCAUUUGCCAAGGAUGUUUUCAUUAA
rnacentral:rRNA from 1 species